GAGGGGUGCGAGCGUUAAUUCGGAAUUUACUGGGCGUAAAAGCGCAUGCAGGUGGUUUGUUAAGUCAGAUGUGAAAAGCCCGGGGCUCAACCUCGGAAUUGCAUUUGAAACUGGGCAGACUAGAGUACUGUAGAGGGGGGUAGAAUUUCAGGUGUAGCGGUGAAAUGCGUAGAGAUCUGAAGGAAUACCGGUGGCGAAGGCGGCCCCCUGGACAGAUACUGACACUCAGAUGCGAAAGCGUGGGGAGCAAACAGGAUUAGAUACCCUGGUAGUCCACGCCGUAAACGAUGUCUACUUGGAGGUUGUGGCCUUGAGCCGUGGCUUUCGGAGCUAACGCGUUAAGUAGACCGCCUGGGGAGUACGGUCGCAAGAUUAAAACUCAAAUGAAUUGACGGGGGCCCGCACAAGCGGUGGAGCAUGUGGUUUAAUUCGAUGCAACGCGAAGAACCUUACCUACUCUUGACAUCCUCAGAAGAGACUGGAGACAGUCUUGUGCCUUCGGGAACUGAGAGACAGGUGCUGCAUGGCUGUCGUCAGCUCGUGUUGUGAAAUGUUGGGUUAAGUCCCGCAACGAGCGCAACCCUUAUCCUUGUUUGCCAGCGAGUAAUGUCGGGAACUCCAGGGAGACUGCCGGUGAUAAACCGGAGGAAGGUGGGGACGACGUCAAGUCAUCAUGGCCCUUACGAGUAGGGCUACACACGUGCUACAAUGGCGCAUACAGAGGGCAGCCAACUUGCGAAAGUGAGCGAAUCCCAAAAAGUGCGUCGUAGUCCGGAUUGGAGUCUGCAACUCGACUCCAUGAAGUCGGAAUCGCUAGUAAUCGUGGAUCAGAAUGCCACGGUGAAUACGUUCCCGGGCCUUGUACACCACCGCCCGUACAGCA
rnacentral:rRNA from 1 species